rnacentral:lncRNA from 1 species
AUCAAUCCGCCAGAUGCUACAGUUGUAUUUGCUGCAGGGAGACCAAAAUCAAUCAUCUAUGUGGCCUAAAGAGAUGCUGAUCUGUAAAGAUAGUUCUUUCUUUGAGCUAAAAAUUGAUUCCUAAAGCUAACUGUUGGUUGUAAUAUUUAUAUCUAACACAAAAAAGUUCAUCUUAGUAUCACUUUAAGAAAAUAAUAGAUCCUAUAAAGAUCCUCUACCAAUUCACCCCCAUAGGUUGAGGAGUAUGCCCUACAACCAUCGCUUUGGCACCCACAGUUUGCAGUGUCUCUUCAAGAAGAGAUUGGAUCUGAUAAUGAAAAAAGCAGUAAGUUGAAAAUUAGCAUCACCUAAAUAAUCAAGUCAAUAAGAUCACAAAUUAAACUUGAUUUAUUUCAACAUAGGAAGAGAUCAAUAUGCAAAAAGGCUAGAAAAUAAAAGAACUAAUCGACAAAAAAGAUCCACGGAUUCAGUGAAACCCAGAAUAAUGCUUGCUGAAUGUGCACAGAGGAAAAUGCCUAUAACCUGCUCGAUCUGGAAGUCUUCCAGAUCUGAAUCUCUGGAGUACAAACGGUUCCACACGAUACUAUCAUAGCCCCUUGUGGCUAUGAAGGCAUCUAGGGAGAAUCGACAGCUUCACUCUGACCUUUCAUCCAUUGAGAUACUUCUCUAUUCAAUCUCUCUAAACCAUAGGCAAGGUGGCUAUGAAAGGCAUCUGCGGAGAAUCGACAGCUUCACUCGGACCUUUCAUCCAUUGAGAUACUUCUCUAUUCAAUCUCUCUAAACCAUAGGCAACUGCAGCAGCAGCAGCAUUAAUAAUCAAUAUACGGGAAUCUUUUCACAUGUAUCCUAAUAAACCAGAAUACUGGGUAGCAGAUUAGGUUAUUA